GGCUGCUGAGGCUGACUGGGGGAGGAGGAGCUGCAUUCAGUAGAGCACUGAGCAUGUGUGUGCGUAUGUGUGUGUAGAGUGAGAGAGAGUGAGAGAGAGAGAGAGAGAGAGAGAGAGAGAGAGAGAGAUUGGGAGUGAGGCAGUGAGGCAGUGUGUAUGCCUUGCAUAACAUACUCUGUACCUCUUGUAUGCAAGGGCUUCAUGUGAGACAGCCCAGACAAGGGGACUUCCUUUAUGCUUACUCCUCCAGGGCUACUGCAGAAGGGAGGAGAGGAGAAGAGGAGGCAAGAGGAGAGGGCAGGAGAGCAAGGGACAAACACAGGACAUGGAGAUAGGGAAGCGUGAAGGAGUUACGUUGGGGGCCCGUGCAAGCUAUCUGCAACAGGGCAGCAGUGUGUGAUGUCUGAUGUAGUCAGAGCUGGAGUGAUACUGCAGUGCUAAUCUCUCUGACUCUGUGACCAGCCUAUGUGUGUGUAUUUAUAUGCUUGCUAUGUGUGUGUUGUGUGUGUUAUGAUGUAUACACAGUUUUACAAAAUGAUUCAAUUUUAGACCAUAAAGUGCUCUGGCUGUGCGUAAAGAAAGACUUCAGUAGUUCUUGGCUCCUGCUAUGUUUAUAUCUUUCUAAUGUACAGUGAGAAGCACUUUGUUUAUUUUGACUUUUUUUUGCCAGGGGAGGCUGAAGGGAAAGUACGCCUUCAGGUUCAAAGUAAACGGUUAUGAUUUUGUUUCUGAUCAAG
ensembl:lncRNA